GCUGGUCAAGCGGGCUCUGCAAGGCCAGGAUGAAGAGAAGCUGCGAACUUACCACUCCCAGAGCCCCCCGAGUGGAUAUCCGCGUGUAAAGGAUGUUGGCAGCCUCGGUGACCUCGGAGUCACGGCUGGACCCACCCUCCCGUCUGAUUUUCUUAACUCGACCACGGUAAGAAGAUGCCCUCCUGCAGCAGGCCGUGCUUGCGGACCCCUCUGGAGACUUCCCGAACCCUGUGGAUUUACAGUAAGAUGCAGUUUCCCUGGGGAGUAAUUCUGGUGGAUACAAAUUCCGGAGUACCUCACCUGGCUUGCCUGGAGACGCUACAAGGAGCUGGAUGGAUUCUUCUAGCCUAGAUGCCCCCUGAGAAUGCGGUCGCAGCUCAGAGCACUGUAUGUCUACCCUUGACUCAACGGGAAUAUUUGCUCUCAUCUCUCGGGCUACCUGGAGCUCUCUCUAAAAUGUAAGUCCCCAAGACCCACCUCCUUUCAACGCAGUGUUUCUGCCAUCAUAUCCUUUAGGCGUUCCAGAAGGACUUUGAGAACCAUCCUUUCCUAAAUCAAAGGUGGAAUAUUUGGCGAUUUGGAAAAUUGAGAUGAGAAGCGUUGACUUAAGAGAUGCCAAGUCACUCAGCAGAUGUCACACAGAUGACAACUAGCAAAGAUGGAAGGCUUCAUGCUGGAGGCAGUUCUAUAAGACAGCUGAGUUCUCCAGAGCUGGUAGGAGACAGACUUGCUCAGGUGAUAGAUCCGGCCAUGAUAUUGGCCAUAAGAGAAUCUGACACUGCAGAAGUCAUAGAAGAUUCCUGAAACUGGGAAAGAUGCCUAGAAAUCUGGAGAAGAGUGAAGAAGCAGCUGGCAGGCAGAGCCCCCUUCCACAUCACUAUGAAAGACAUCCAACAGACAGCAAGUUUCCACCUCACUUCCAGCUUGAUUCCUCUUUAUCUCCUAAUUGCGGCGUGUGAUGUCUUCAGGAGUGGAAUUAACUAGUUCUGGGUACCUGGAGGCACAGCAGCCAUGUUGAACCUAUGAGGUGAUGAAAAGCCAUGCAACUAGAAGCCAGAAUGGAAGAAAAGAAGAGGCUGGAUCCCUGACUGAAUUGUCGAUGGGGAUAGUCCGUCAUCCCAGGGCUAAGACCACCUCCAUAUUUCUUGUUUGGUGAAACAAUUCCUAACUGGUUACAUUCCUUUAUGUUGAGCUGUCUCUUACUUGUAGCUGAAAGCGAUUCUAAUAGAUAUUCAGAUUAUCUGCACACUGAGGGGCAGCCUUAGCUCCAAGCUAGAAUACUCUAGGGGACUUUAGCUUCUCCAUGAAUUCCUUUGCUCAUCUGUGUAAUGCUCAAUAAAUGUAAAUUGAACCCUGAAUGAGGGACAAUGACACUAUUGAAGUCAUGAUUGUCAAUCUUAUUAACUCGCAAAAUACUUACAAAAAGGUUGGAACACUGCCCAACACACAGUAAGCUGCUGUGGAAAGAAAGGGUUUGCCAAAUGGAGUGAGAAGAAAACAGUCAUAGGCUUUCUUUUACAUCUUGAUCCAUCUUCAAGCCUCUGUGGUCUUUAAGCAGAACCUUGACCCCUUCACUACUGGGGCUCAUGGAUCAUGAAACACCCCCUAAACUCAGUCUCAAAACACCCACUCUAGCAGUUUCUUUUUGACAAAAAAGCCUUCUUAGAGAAUGCUGGCUUGUGAAAAAGAAGGGACUGUGACCACCAAAUCGUGUCAGUAUAUGACCAAAAUACCCAAAGCAAUUCAUGCAAAUAGGUUCAAGUCUCUCUGGGCAAGCCUUCCUGAAGGCUCUAGAAUUUUUGAAGCUCAUUUUUGAAAGGGUCUUUCCAUUUGGUGGCUUUUUUUUUUUUUUUUUUUCCACCUCCUCCCAUCUUUCUCAUCAGAGCUAGAGGGAUGGGAGAAAGAUUAGCUCUUGGGCUCUCUGUCCUUUCUGUGUAGUGAGGGACCAGGCUCUGGGCAUGUGUGAAGGACUGGGUGUGCUUUGGGAUGUUACUUCCUGUUGUCGCAAUGGCAAGCCUUUAGUGAGGUCACUUGAAGUUGACCAACAAGUAGGCAUUAUUUCAAAAUAGUUCUUGAUCAUGGUAUUAAAGAACCAGCCAGCAUGUGUGCCCAUCUUAAAAACAAACAAACGAACCAACAAACCUCACUUUUGGAAAGUUCCUUCUGAAUGUGUGCCCUUCCGAUUCACUUCUUAUCCUUUCUGUCAGAAACACCCCAGAAAAGGGGACCUUGCCUUUGAACCACUCUCCUACCCAACCUUCCUGCUUCUGUCUGACCUACCUUCCUUCUUCAGCAGCCAGGAUCCUUUCAAAGUGAGCACCGAAACAUAGGGAUUCUCUAGCCAUGAGUGCCCUCUGAAAUUCUAUCUUACUUAGAAUAAAAUCUCUAAACUUAUGCAGUGUCCCCUGCAUGGGUGGUGGCUUCUUUUUUUCUGUCACUUUCCUGCUUGUUCACACCACUCUCUGCCUGGCCUUCUUAUGUCACCGAUUCCCUGAGUACACUCUGGCCUCAGUCUUUCCAUGAAGUAACUCUCCUUUCUAGAACAUUCUUUCCUGCAUAACUAUCUGCUUCUGUCCUCACUGUAUUCUGAUUUGUAUUUCAAUGUCAAUUUCCACACAGGUAUUCUCUGCCCAUCCUCUAAAGUGUGCCCCCUGUCUUCUUUGCUGUUAUCUGUAUACCCUAAGUCUAAGUCUUAUUAUUACCUUAUUGUAGACAAAAUCUGUUAGCAUUUCUCACCAGGAUGCAAGCCUAGUGAUGAAGGAGCCAUUGUUCCAUUUUCAGAAUCCAGGCUGUUCUGCCUUGCGUCCUUUACUAAGUAAUGAAGCUCAAUAAAACAUUUUGACC
ensembl:lincRNA Pvt1 uncharacterized LOC110335330